AACGAACGCUGGCGGCAUGCCUAAUACAUGCAAGUCGAACGAGACCUCCGGGACUAGUGGCGCCCGGGUGCGUCACGCGUGGGAACCUGCCCAUGGGUUUGGACUAACUCCCCGAAUGGGGUGCCAACACCGGACAAUGUCUUCUGCCCAAAGAUUUAUCGCCCUUGGUGGUACCCUCGUUGGAUUCGCUGGUUGUUAGGGUAAAAGCCUACUAAGGCGCCGAUGCAUAGCUGGUUAGUGAGAAUGGUUAGCCACACUGGGAUUCAGACGCGGCCCAGACUCCUACGGGAGGCAGCAGUGCGUAAUGGUGGACCGUGGGCGAAAGGCUGAUCCAGUAAUGCCGCGAGAGUGAUGAAGGCCGUAGGGUUGUAAUGCUCUAUUACCCGGGAUGAUAAUGACAGUACCGGGAGAAUAAGCCCCGGCUAACUCCGUG
rnacentral:rRNA from 1 species